GGAGGUUCUCGGGUGAUGCACUCCAGAAUCAGCUCCCUCCUUUCUGGUUCUGGACUGUGUCACCCGAGAACCACU
rfam:Myotis davidii contig316758, whole genome shotgun sequence.